rnacentral:misc_RNA from 1 species
CACAGAACCCAUCAAGUCUUUGGCUAUUCACGGAACUGAGCCCCUUGUGCUGUCAGCAUCCGUGGAUGGCAAAAUUUUGCUGUGGGACUAUGCAAAUGACUGGCAUUUGAUUAAAACAUUUGAUGCGAGAAGUCAACGUUUGGUGCAAGUCGCGUUUAAUCCAAAGGACACCAAUAUGUUUGCUAGUGCUCAGGGCAAAACAGUAAAGAUUUGGGAUCGCCAGCAUGAUGAAUGCCAAUACAAAUUAGAUGGGCAUUCACAUCAGAUCGAGUGUUUUGAUUACUUUAGUGGUGGUGAUUUUGAUAAGCUAUAUAUAGUCACCGGCUCUCAAGAUAAAACUGCCAAGAUCUGGGACUGCGAGAAUGCGGGCUGUGUCCAGACACUGGAAGGACAUGCAGGUCCCGUUAGAGCUGUCUGUUACCAUCAGAAUCUCUCGUUAUUAAUUACAGGGUGCUCUGACGGAUCAAUUCAUCUAUGGAACUCCACUACCUUCAGGCUUGAGCAUAAACUGAACUUUGCUGACUUCGGAUUACUGAGUUCUGUAGCUUGUUUGAAAGGAUCGAAAAGGAUUGCAAUCAGAAGCAGGGAAGGAUUAGCACUUGUAGACAUAGACAUAGAGGACAAGAAGGAUAGCGAUGUGGAGAGCAUCACGACUACUGCUUCCAUGAACGACACAGGUCCAAUUACAGAAGAGAACGGAGUGGCAGCAGACCAUAUCUCUGAUGACCACCUGGCGCAGGGCGUAGUAUAUGUACAUACAGAGAUUAUAGGCAAAGUCAAUUCAGCAUGCACCAUAGACGUCCAUCCGACAAAGCCAUGGAUGGUCAUCACUCAAGCUAACAAGUUUGUUCAUGUUUGGGACUACCAUACAAAGGCAAUGGAAUGGACGAUUCAGAUUAAGGGAGCGAAAGUUAGUUCAGCUAAAUUUAUAGCCAGCCAGGAUUGGAUUGUGGCGGGUACUACCCGUGGAUUCCUCCACGUGUACGAUUGCGAAUCGAGGAAGGAAAUACGCCGUCUUUGUGAACACCCG